AGCGAACGCUGGCGGCAGGCCUAACACAUGCAAGUCGAACGAACCUUUCGGGGUUAGUGGCGGACGGGUGAGUAACACGUGGGAACGUGCCUUUAGGUUCGGAAUAACUCAGGGAAACUUGUGCUAAUACCGAAUGUGCCCUUCGGGGGAAAGAUUUAUCGCCUUUAGAGCGGCCCGCGUCUGAUUAGCUAGUUGGUUGAGGUAAUGGCUCACCAAGGCGACGAUCAGUAGCUGGUCUGAGAGGAUGAUCAGCCACAUUGGGACUGAGACACGGCCCAAACUCCUACGGGAGGGAGCAGUGGGGAAUCUUGCGCAAUGGGCGAAAGCCUGACGCAGCCAUGCCGGGUGAAUUAUGAAGGUUUUAGGAUUGUAAAAUUCUUUCCCCGGGGACGAUAAUGACGGUACCCGGAAAAGAAGCCCCGGCUAACUUCGU
rnacentral:rRNA from 1 species